UCUGAGCAGGCGCCCUGGCCUGCCACAGCCCAUUCUCACAGGGAGUGGGGCAGUCCGCCCCACUACAGGGUAUUAAAAGCCAGGGCAAGCUAAGCCUCCCCUGACCAAGGCUGUGGUCCCGCCUAUGUUCCCUCAGGUCUGUGAACAGCUCAAACUUCUUCUUCCACUGAGUCCAUUGAGGAGCUAGUCAGUAUUUGAGGAUCAGCUCUGGCUUCAGAAAAAUUAAACUGUCUUCAGCUUGGUGCACAAGUAAUGCAGUUACCGAUGACAGCCAGGCAAUGGAGAACACAUUCAAGAGCCACUCCUUUCUGCUGUGGUGAAGAUUCCCCAGAAGGAAGAUUAAGAUUUGCCGUAUUCAAGAACUAGGCUGAACAGCUCAAGCACACUGACUUGUGACCACAGCAUUUCAUUGGCUUUCUGCUCUGGAUAAAUGCAUAUCAAACAUCCUGAAGACGUCCUGAAGACAAUGAAAGCCCCCUUUGGCAUAUUCCUGGGCUGAUGGAAGUGGGACCCCAACCGCUACUCAGAAAACUACUGAAGAAACAAAAAGCAAGAGCAUUUAAGUAGCAUGGACUAUAUGUACAGCUUGGUGGGGGUUUGUUCAUUCAACUCCACAGUUCAUUUCUUAGCCAAUAAGACAAAUCAUCACAGACAGCUUGUUCUAACUGACAGUGGUCUCUCUCUCUCUCUUUCUCUGACAAUGUGGACAUGUCAGUCUGACAGACAACUGUGUUCAUCCCUGAAGCUCUG